GGCUAGUCCAAAGGUAAUGAGUUAUCUUACUUGAUUGUUCACAGUUAUAGAUCAAACUCCUUGUUCUACUAAUUCCCCCCUUCUCACUAUCAUACUUGACCAGUCUUAA
rnacentral:Y_RNA from 1 species